GACGAACCGUGCGAACGUUUGUUCGGAAUCACUGGGCUUAAAGGGCGCGUAGGCGGGUCUUCAAGUCUGGGGUGAAAUCUUUCGGCUUAACCGGAAAAGUGCCUCGGAUACUGGAGACCUCGAGGGAGGCAGGGGCGGAUGGAACUUCCGGUGGAGCGGUGAAAUGCGUUGAUAUCGGAAGGAACGCCGGUGGCGAAAGCGAUCCGCUGGACCUCUUCUGACGCUGAGGCGCGAAAGCCAGGGGAGCAAACGGG
rnacentral:rRNA from 1 species